rnacentral:tRNA from 1 species
GUUUAAAUAGCUUAAAUGAAAGCUUUUUAUUGAAGAUGAAUAGAUGAUAUUUAUAUCUUUAAACA